UGGAGACCCUGGCUGAAACUCCUCUGUGUCGGAUCCAGGAGACUGAGCUGUGCUGCUUUCAGGAUCCUGUGGUUAGCAACAUGCAGGAAAACCAAGGCGGAAUGUGGUUCUGAAGUAUUGUCCUGUCUUGGAGAAGGAAACAGGGGGGCUGAGAGGAUCGCCUGAGGCUAUUCGACAAGGCAGCGGCAGGCUGGCAUAGAAGCUGCCUCUUGUCCAAGAGAGGGCUAUUCGGAUCCUGCAUGGACAAGACCAUCUUCUCCCUCAUCCACGGCUCCUGUUGUCUCUAACUUUCAUGCUUUCCUUCAGCCAUGGUGUAAGCAGGUUAUUGCAGCUUGCCUGCAGGAAGACAUCUAAAAUGAAGCAAAGGACACUCUGCUCCUUCCCUGCCUCUGCCCCAGCCCCGAUGACCGUGGCUGUAGUCGUGCUGUGGAACAUGCAGCCCCUCUAAAACACCUCUGGUAACAGAACAAAAAUGAAGAGGAUCCUCACAAGCCUGCUUUGAAAGGUAUCUUAAUUUGGUGUCUAAACCAGUCUGCGGGCUUUCCAGUCCUAUCAAUCCCAUAGGGAAAAAAAAACCCAACAAAACCACACAACCCAAAACACACAAAAAAGUACAAAAGCUUAGUGAUAGGAAAAGUUAUAACUACAAUUUUUACUGUAUACAGUUGCCCAAACACGUGGGGUGAAAUUGGUGUGAACUCGUGUGCAGUAAGUUGGAUGGAGCAGUGUAAAGGGCACGUGGUGAAAGGUGACGUGAUACCUUGUCACAUUAAAGAUAUCUUGGAUUUCUGGUGCAGAGACAUGGGUAGAAGGGUGGAUGAAAACUAUGUUUGGGAGAGCAGGGUGAGGUGUUGUUUUUGAGGGGAAGAAUUUAAUUUCUGAUGGGAAGUGUUCUGAGUUUCACUUGCU